rnacentral:lncRNA from 1 species
UUCAGGAGGACACAUCAUACUCCUCCUAGAAUACGGUCUCUGGAGGCAGGAAAUGAGUAGACAAGAAAGCCAUGUGACAUAGGGCAGGCAGCUCUAAACCCAAAAGACAAAAAGUUAGGCAAUCUUCCAGAUCACCAAAACAGACAAAGAUGUUUGUUUACAAGAACUUCCUGAUAAAGCAGGCGAUGUGGCUUGGGUUCUUGUUUGGUUGUCUUUCCCCUUUCUGUAUGAAUCAAUACCGUAUUCACCUCAGUUCUUCUCCAUUUGUACAUUCUUAUUUAAACGCGGCUCAGACACAAUUGUUUGAAGCAGACCAUUCCAGGGGUUAGAAGAGAGGAACCCCAGGGACAAAGGAGGAACCUUCAGAAUUAGAUCAAGGGUGUCACAAGCAGUCCAAAAGUCUGGGUGGCACUUUAGGGGUAAAUGAAAACUGGCCCACAGAAAGCACUGAAUUUUACAAAUAAAAAUGCUAGCUCAUCCCCAUGUGGGGCAUGUGACAAAUGUGACAUUUGCAAUAUUAUGAAUCUAUGAAGGUCAAGUUUUGCUUUUCAUUUCUGAGGCUACUGACUACAAAGAGGGUUUUUUUUUUUCCUAUAAAAAUUCUUUGUGCAAAACCUUGAAGGCAACAGUACUGGAAAUGAUUUUUAAAACAGAACUCAAAUAAUAUGGUCUCCCAGGAAGUAGUUUUGAAUAAUAUACAAAGAAAAAACUGAAUUACGUUCGGAGCCUCCUCCAUAGAUGCUGUCCCUGAGGAGCUGAGCCCAGACCGCCUCUAGAGAGUGGGGGUUUCAUCCAAGAUAAACUCAGCCACCGUGGACCAAGUCCUGCAUCAGCCACCUGCCAGCUACAGCUCACGAUGGAUCUGAACAAACUCCUCAAAUUGGACAGAAAAAGUUUUGAACCUCAGUCAUUUUCGUCUCCCCGAGUUGAUGAAAACCCCAUGGCACAUCACUUCCGGAGCUGUUCUAUCCAAAGGAAGACAGGAUUCGUCUACCUAUGCUACAGGAACUCACCAUGGAAACAACAGAACCGAAGAAAAUUAAGCGGAACAAAGCAACAUUGCUGCGACUCCUCAACACAGGUAGUCAGCCUUCUCCCGGGCCUGCAGAGCCUCGCGGGAAGCUUGCACAUAUUUUGUUGUUGUUGAACUAGAUUUGUAGUGUAAAAUGAAAGGUUUUCUUAUUUUAAGUUUGCUGACUGGAAAAUAAAUUUAUUUCUUGGUACAUUUAAUUUUUUCAGACAUCAUAAUUUAAAAACAAGAGGUAAAGCUAAACUAAAAGUUUUAGGCAACAUAGGUUCAAUGCAUGUCAAAAAUAGGAUCCAGAGACCUGGGUUUGUUGCUUAGUGGUAUAGCAUGCUUAAGGCUCGGGAUGCUGCCACUAGCACCAGAAGUAAACAAAACAUUAACCAUCAGAUGUUAUCACUGCCAUUGCAAAUCAAAUUGUCAAUGAUAAUCUCUGCUUAAAAGUUGUCAUUCUUUAAUUAAUAUUUCAAAGUUACAUCUUAUUCAUUUAUUUUGUGUGGUAUGGGAUACACAUGAAUAUGGAUGUCGGAUGGGACUCAGUGGUUUCUCUCCUUCCACUACGUGAGUCCAGAAGCUCAAACAGGUCCUAGGACAUGCUAAGCUAUCUCCCAGCCACACUCCUCCUUCCUCUUUCUUUACCUUUGAGACAUUCAUACUCAUCUACAUUGAAAUAUGAUCACAUCUACCCCCAGUUUUCCUUUCCAAUUCCAACCCCCUCAUACCUCACCAGCAUAUCUCUCUCUCUCUCUCUCUCUCUCUCUCUCUCUCUCUCUCUCUCUCUCUGUCAUAACUCAGUAAGUCCAUUUGUGCAGCCCAUGUAAGCUUGGGUGUGAGUCCUCUCCAAUACAGAAAAACUGGUAAGAAUGAAAAUAGAUGUUACCAAGAUCACAUCAUUAGAGUUCUACUAAGACUCAAUUUUAUAAUUAAAGUGUGCAUAAUAAUAUAACACUUAUUGUUGUAGGAGAUAUUGAAAAUGAACCAGCAUGUCCCCACACUUGUGCUGGCAACUCUCUGGCAUGGCAGCCUGGCUGGCCAUGCACUGGCGGGCAAUGGCCGACCUGUUAUUAUCUUGUGCAGACUCUGGCUCAGAGCUCCGCAAUCUCUCCACCCAGCUCACUAAGUUCCCACUGGUGGGUCGUUACCAUGCCAACCCUGGGCUUCACAUCCUCUGUGGCCUUCAUGGUGUACAUCAGGCAAACCCAGGCUUUGCCACCAUACCUUUCUCUCUUGAAUCCAGACGAGCCACUGCAUGAAGGAAAAUGCAACACAAACUUAGUUCAGAUAUGAUGGUAUCACUCCCCAGCCCCCCCGAAAUGAUGGUAACUCAAUCGCUCCCCAGCCCCCCGAAAUGAUGGUAACUCAA